AGAGUUUGAUCCUGGCUCAGGCGAACGCUGGCGGCGUGCCUAAUGCAUGCAAGUCGCACGCUGUUCCUUCGGGAAUAGAGUGGCGAACGGCUGAGGAACACGUGGGGCCUCCCUUCAGUGGGGGACAACACCGCGAAAGCGGUGCUAAUCCCGCAUACGCUCUGCGGAGGAAAGCGUGAGCAAUCACGCGCUGAAGACUGGCCCUGCGGCCCAUCAGGUAGUUGGCGGGGUAACGGCCCACCAAGCCCGUGACGGGUCGCUGGUCUGUGAGGACGCCAGCCAGACUGGGACUGAGAUACGGCCCAGCUCCUACGGGAGGCAGCAGCAAGGAAUUUUCGGCAAUGGGCGCAAGCCUGACCGAGCAACGCCGCGUGCGGGAUGACGGCCUUCGGGUUGUAAACCGCUUUUGGGGGGGAAGAAUCGGACGGUACCCCCCGAAUAAGCCCCGGCUAACUCUGUGCCAGCAGCCGCGGUAAUACAGAGGGGGCAAGCGUUGUCCGGAUUGACUGGGCGUAAAGCGCACGUAGGUGGUUGGUUCGUGGUGUGUGAAAGCUCAGGGCUUAACCCUGAUAGGCCAUGCCAAACGAAUCAACUCGAGGCUGAGCAGAGGCGGGUGGAAUUGCCGGUGUAGUGGUGAAAUGCGUAGAGAUCGGCAGGAACACCAAGGGGGAACCCANNNGCUGGGCCAGUCCUGACACUGAGGUGCGACAGCGUGGGGAGCGAACAGGAUUAGAUACCCUAGUAGUCC
rnacentral:rRNA from 1 species